rnacentral:rRNA from 1 species
UUAGAUACCCUGGUAGUCCACGCUGUAAACGAUGAUUACUAGGUGUUGGGGGUCGAACCUCAGCGCCCAAGCAAACGCGAUAAGUAAUCCGCCUGGGGAGUACGUACGCAAGUAUGAAACUCAAAGGAAUCGACGGGGACCCGCACAAGCGGUGGAGCAUGUGGUUUAAUUCGACGCAACGCGAGGAACCUUACCAGCGUUUGACAUCUUAGGAAUGAGAUAGAGAUAUUUCAGUGUCCCUUCGGGGAAACCUAAAGACAGGUGGUGCAUGGCUGUCGUCAGCUCGUGUCGUGAGGUGUUGGGUUAAGUCCCGCAACGAGCGCAACCCCUUUCGUAUGUUACCAUCAUUAAGUUGGGGACUCAUGCGAUACUGCCUACGAUGAGUAGGAGGAAGGUGGGGAUGACGUCAAGUCAUCAUGCCCCUUAUACGCUGGGCUACACACGUGCUACAAUGGGUAGAACAGAGAGUCGCAAAGCUGUGAAGUGGAGCUAAUCUCAGAAAACUAUUCUUAGUUCGGAUUGUACUCUGCAACUCGAGUACAAGAAGUUGGAAUCGCUAGUAAUCGCGAAUCAGCAAUGUCGCGGUGAAUACGUUCUCGGGUCUUGUACACACCGCCCGUCACACCACGAGAGUUGGUUGCACCUGAAGUAGCAGGCCUAACCGUAAGGAGGGAUGCUCCGAGGGUGUGAUUAGCGAUUGGGGUGAAGUCGUAACAAGGUAUCCGUACGGGAGCGUGCGGAUGGAUCACCUCCUUUCUAAGGAGUAUAAGUCUUUCUCUAUUCUAUUGGUAA